rnacentral:rRNA from 1 species
GAUGAACGCUAGCGACAGGCUUAACACAUGCAAGUCGAGGGGCAGCACAGGUAGCAAUACCGGGUGGCGACCGGCGCACGGGUGAGUAACGCGUAUGCAACUUGCCUAUCAGAGGGGGGUAACCCGGCGAAAGUCGGACUAAUACCGCAUGAAGCAGGGGCCCCGCAUGGGGAUAUUUGCUAAAGAUUCAUCGCUGAUAGAUAGGCAUGCGUUCCAUUAGGCAGUUGGCGGGGUAACGGCCCACCAAACCGACGAUGGAUAGGGGUUCUGAGAGGAAGGUCCCCCACAUUGGUACUGAGACACGGACCAAACUCCUACGGGAGGCAGCAGUGAGGAAUAUUGGUCAAUGGGCGUAAGCCUGAACCAGCCAAGUCGCGUGAGGGAUGAAGGUUCUAUGGAUCGAAAACCUCUUUUAUAAGGGAAUAAAGUGCGGGACGUGUCCUAUUUUGUAUGUACCUUAUGAAUAAGGAUCGGCUAACUCCGUGCCAGCAGCCGCAGUAA